rnacentral:lncRNA from 9 species
AUGGAAAACACUGGCCCCGAUGACCCAAACCAAGACAGCCCGAGGCCAUGCCUCACCUUGGGAUCUCUCCUGCCACCACCGCCAGAGGAGGGGUCUCGGCCCCACGCAGCCUGGCCUGGCCUUCGGCUUCCACCCUAUAAGGGAGACCCAAGAGACAAGGUGACACCCACAGUGAGACGCCAUCGACUGGGCUCCUCGGGCGGUCGGCGCUGCCCCGUUGGGCUCGAGGAUGGAAAGGCAGGAAGAGAAAGGCCCCGUUUCCUUGCGAGUGGACCUCAGAGUUCCAGACACACAUUAUUCGUCAUCGAUGCCUCAUACGCUGGCAUUGAUCAUCAUCGAUCCAGAAAAGGGGGACCUUCUCUUCCUUCGCCAUGGCCCGUGGAGUCAGGCAUUCCUCCCCGCACGGCCACUGGGCAACCCAAGGGGCCCGCCCCACCCAACGAGGCCUCGCCAUCCCUCGGGGGGGCCUCUAGGACCCGUCCCCUGGCUUUCGGUCUCUCUGGGCCGCGGAGGACCAGCUGGGCCCCUGUGCAGGACGUCCAAGAGACCUUCCUAGCCAGAGCUGUCCCAUCCCUGGGACGCCAGAGCCCUUCUGGACUGCUGGCCUCGCCCGCAUCUGCCGCCCACCCUCCACCAGCCCCUCGCACUGCCCUGCCCAGCCCAGCCCCGACAAGCCCUGGGAUGCUGCUCACACUGGCCUUCUGGAUCCAGAGACAACGCUGCCAUCCUCGCCUGCUCAUCCAGGAAGGAGCCUG